CAUAUUGUUCUACUUGCAAAUUUUAUUGGCUGAUAGUGCUGCUAGAAAGCAGAAACAGGUGACGAUAACGAACACUACAGUCAGUUCGUCCGUACAUCAGUGGUGUGAAUGCAGGGAGUCGAAGCUUCGAACUACUUCUUUCCCCUAUGGAGUUCGACUCUGUGAUUGAAUUCUCUAAUGCUCCCGCUGUUUCUAAAGGUUGCGUUAACGACUGGGAAGCUUUCUCCAAGUGGAAGCCCUCCAAUUGUGAUCUCGACCAUUUGCUGGACCUUUUGUUGUGGAGGGGUAUGCUAUCUAAAUAUGUGUCCAUCUACGGUGAUCUUAGAAGCCAUGAGAGGGUGAUUUCAUGUUCCUUCCGUUGAUGACAUUGUAAGCUCUGGAAGCUCAUUUUCUGGGAUCUUGUUAGCCUCACAACUUACUUUCCCUGCACCUGUAUUUUUUGCUUUUUUGGCCUCCUUCUGCCAGUCCCAUGUUUUAUCCUAUGCCUAUAUCUAGGGAGGCAUCAAAUCACAGAAUGAAGUCCUAUGUAAAGCGUCGUCUGCAGAGAUACAGAAUAUGAAAAGGCAUACAUGUGCACUGAUUGGUAAUGAAACAGAUUGUAGCACCCGUGAAUUUGAUUAGCAUGUAGAAAAAUGGGUUUGAGAGGAAGAGAGCUGGAGCAGAGAACUAAGUUGAAUGAUCUGGAAUCAGAUGCCAUUCAGGCUCUUCACGAUUGGUUUCUUUAUUUCAUGGCCACAUGAGUACUGCUGAUUGUGGUGAAGUUAUGAACUUGUCAAUCUGGAUCAACAUGCAAUUCUGCUGUUAGUGUUGAAGUUGAAGCACAAUCUCCCAAGAACUCUGGAGGCUUUAAUACUUCACUUGCUUUCACCAAUAGCAGAAGUCCUUGAGGUGAAUUUGAUGAGCUAGAUCAACUGACCACUGAGGAAGAUCGGUAAAUGCUACUUUUCAUAAUUCAGAUGGAAAUUUUUCCCAUACAUAGUGACAAAGGAAAGGCAUCUCUUUGCUCUCAAUUUAUUGGUCAUCAAUUCAGAAACAAGUUCUACCAGGUUCUCUGUGGUGCCUUUUAUGACCAGUUUCCUGCAAUGAAUGCUAUUCUAAAUGGGAAAGAAUCAUUUGCACUCCAGGUAUUCAAGCUGGAAAAAUAUUUGGGAGUAAAUUUUGUUGGGUCUAUAAUUCCAGGGAUCAAAUAUUUGGCACACUACUUUAAGCAAAUUGGUCCCUCCAGAAUCUUAAGGUAGCAAAUCGAUGCAUAUUCACUGUAGAACCUUUUCUUCUCUUGCAAGAUAUUCUUGCAUGUGAUAUAUAUUCAUCAGUUUUUUUUUUUGGUAGAAUUAAAAUCAUCGCUAAUUUUGACUAGAGCUGUAAUGCUGUAUGAGUCGGAUGUCCACAUGUUAUGUUAUCUAAAUUAUAGAUGUAAAAAAUCUCUGUUCAGUUUUGAGAUCAAUUCUCUGCAUUCUCUCAGAAA